rnacentral:rRNA from 1 species
AGCCCAGAGAAGGCGGCCGGAGGUCACGCCAGGCGCCUGGGCCUGGGCCUCCACGGCCUUUGGCCAGCCCACCCGCCGCCACACCGCAUAAGAGAGAGAGUAGGCGACGGUUACGGAUAAGGGUCGGAGACCCGAAGCCCGCACCACCCCGCUCGAUCCCCACAUCCUACACGACGCCGCCGGCGGUUGGAGGGCGGCGGCCACGGGCACGGCCGGGCGGCCUUGGCGCGUGCAAGAGGGCGCGUGGCCGGGCGGAGGCCGGGCCGCAGGGCUCGACGCAGCGGCCGGGAUCGGGGCGCGGCGCAGCGCGGGUUGGAGGGCGGAGAGGCCGUGGCCAGGGCCGCAGCGCGGCCGGGCGGACGAGCGCGGGGCGGGGAGUCCGUGGCCAGGGGCACAUCGCGGCCGGGCGGACGAGCGCGGGGCGCGGAGGCUGUGUCCUGGGGCGCAGCGGCCUGGCGGACGAGUCCGCGCCGCGUCGCGGUUGGGGGCCGUCCUCGCGGGCGCCAAGGCCGAAGGACGCCGCUGCGUUCGCGCCAGACGGCGUCGCCUCGCCAUGGAGGUUCGAUCCAACGGCUUGGUUGCAGGCUGGGUGGUCCGGAAGACAACUGCGCUUUCCGGUUCAUACGUCGGGCUGGCUACCGGCAAGCGACGACAAAGGCUGUCCCUUACAGGGGAAAAAGGAAUUCAUGGCCACAGCGCGCUGCAGGAACGCCGGUCCUGAGGGCCGCACCGACGAACUCGCGAGCGAGCGAUGCUGUAGGCGGAAUCGUCGCGCAGAUGGAAUCGCUCCACCGGGAGCGUGCGCGGGCGGUCACCGGGCUCUGUGUCGCCUGAUGGACUCUUUCUUUCUCAGUGGAGAAGACUAUGUGCUGAUAACGUGUUGAAUUGUAAACGAGAGCAACGAGAGACAAUCGAACAAAAUGAUUGAACUAUCCUCUUUGCAUUAGAUGAAGUGCUAUAUAUAGCACUGGAGCAGGCGUUUACAAGGGGGCGUCGGUUCAAACGGAACCGACGGGAUUGCAGAAAGCAACCGCCGUUACAAGCGGGGAUUAAUC